rnacentral:ncRNA from 1 species
AUAGAUGUUCCACCGGGAACAAUGAGAUAGUAAUACUUUUCCAUUAGGUCAUAGAAGGAAGGGUGUUGCUAUCUUUUUUAUU